rnacentral:rRNA from 1 species
GGGUUGUGAGGUUAAGCGACUAAGCGUACACGGUGGAUGCCCUGGCAGUCAGAGGCGAUGAAGGACGUGCUAAUCUGCGAAAAGCGUCGGUAAGGUGAUAUGAACCGUUAUAGCCGGCGAUGUCCGAAUGGGGAAACCCAGUGCAAUUCGUUGCACUAUCGUUAACUGAAUACAUAGGUUAACGAGGCGAACCGGGGGAACUGAAACAUCUAAGUACCCCGAGGAAAAGAAAUCAACCGAGAUUCCCCCAGUAGCGGCGAGCGAACGGGGAGCAGCCCAGAGUCUGAAUCAGCUUGUGUGUUAGUGGAACGGUCUGGAAAGUCCGACGGUACAGGGUGAUAGUCCCGUACACCAAAAUGCACAGGCUGUGAACUCGAAGAGUAGGGCGGGACACGUGGUAUCCUGUCUGAAUAUGGGGGGACCAUCCUCCAAGGCUAAAUACUCCUGACUGACCGAUAGUGAACCAGUACCGUGAGGGAAAGGCGAAAAGAACCCCGGCGAGGGGAGUGAAAAAGAACCUGAAACCGUGUACGUACAAGCAGUGGGAGCACCUUCGGGUGUGACUGCGUACCUUUUGUAUAAUGGGUCAGCGACUUAUAUUCUGUAGCAAGGUUAACCGUAUAGGGGAGCCGCAGGGAAACCGAGUCUUAACUGGGCGUUAAGUUGCAGGGUAUAGACCCGAAACCCGGUGAUCUAGCCAUGGGCAGGUUGAAGGUUGGGUAACACUAACUGGAGGACCGAACCGACUAAUGUUGAAAAAUUAGCGGAUGACUUGUGGCUGGGGGUGAAAGGCCAAUCAAACCGGGAGAUAGCUGGUUCUCCCCGAAAGCUAUUUAGGUAGCGCCUCGUGAAUUCAUCUUCGGGGGUAGAGCACUGUUUCGGCUAGGGGGUCAUCCCGACUUACCAACCCGAUGCAAACUACGAAUACCGAAGAAUGUUAUCACGGGAGACACACGGCGGGUGCUAACGUCCGUCGUGAAGAGGGAAACAACCCAGACCGCCAGCUAAGGUCCCAAAGUCAUGGUUAAGUGGGAAACGAUGUGGGAAGGCACAGACAGCCAGGAUGUUGGCUUAGAAGCAGCCAUCAUUUAAAGAAAGCGUAAUAGCUCACUGGUCGAGUCGGCCUGCGCGGAAGAUGUAACGGGGCUAAACCAUGCACCGAAGCUGCGGCAGCGACACUAUGUGUUGUUGGGUAGGGGAGCGUUCUGUAAGCCUGCGAAGGUGACCUGUGAGGGUUGCUGGAGGUAUCAGAAGUGCGAAUGCUGACAUAAGUAACGAUAAAGCGGGUGAAAAGCCCGCUCGCCGGAAGACCAAGGGUUCCUGUCCAACGUUAAUCGGGGCAGGGUGAGUCGACCCCUAAGGCGAGGCCGAAAGGCGUAGUCGAUGGGAAACAGGUUAAUAUUCCUGUACUUGGUGUUACUGCGAAGGGGGGACGGAGAAGGCUAUGUUAGCCGGGCGACGGUUGUCCCGGUUUAAGCAUGUAGGCUGGUUGUCCAGGCAAAUCCGGAUAAUCAAGGCUGAGGUGUGAUGACGAGGCACUACGGUGCUGAAGUAACAAAUGCCCUGCUUCCAGGAAAAGCCUCUAAGCAUCAGGUAACAUUAAAUCGUACCCCAAACCGACACAGGUGGUCAGGUAGAGAAUACCAAGGCGCUUGAGAGAACUCGGGUGAAGGAACUAGGCAAAAUGGUGCCGUAACUUCGGGAGAAGGCACGCUGGUGUGUAGGUGAAGUCCCUGCGGAUGGAGCUGAGACCAGUCGAAGAUACCAGCUGGCUGCAACUGUUUAUUAAAAACACAGCACUGUGCAAACACGAAAGUGGACGUAUACGGUGUGACGCCUGCCCGGUGCCGGAAGGUUAAUUGAUGGGGUUAUCCGUAAGGAGAAGCUCUUGAUCGAAGCCCCGGUAAACGGCGGCCGUAACUAUAACGGUCCUAAGGUAGCGAAAUUCCUUGUCGGGUAAGUUCCGACCUGCACGAAUGGCGUAAUGAUGGCCAGGCUGUCUCCACCCGAGACUCAGUGAAAUUGAACUCGCUGUGAAGAUGCAGUGUACCCGCGGCAAGACGGAAAGACCCCGUGAACCUUUACUAUAGCUUGACACUGAACAUUGAGCCUUGAUGUGUAGGAUAGGUGGGAGGCUUUGAAGCGUGGACGCCAGUCUGCGUGGAGCCAACCUUGAAAUACCACCCUUUAAUGUUUGAUGUUCUAACGUUGGCCCCUUACCGGGGUUGCGGACAGUGUCUGGUGGGUAGUUUGACUGGGGCGGUCUCCUCCCAAAGCGUAACGGAGGAGCACGAAGGUUAGCUAAUCCUGGUCGGACAUCAGGAGGUUAGUGCAAUGGCAUAAGCUAGCUUGACUGCGAGCGUGACGGCGCGAGCAGGUGCGAAAGCAGGUCAUAGUGAUCCGGUGGUUCUGAAUGGAAGGGCCAUCGCUCAACGGAUAAAAGGUACUCCGGGGAUAACAGGCUGAUACCGCCCAAGAGUUCAUAUCGACGGCGGUGUUUGGCACCUCGAUGUCGGCUCAUCACAUCCUGGGGCUGAAGUAGGUCCCAAGGGUAUGGCUGUUCGCCAUUUAAAGUGGUACGCGAGCUGGGUUUAGAACGUCGUGAGACAGUUCGGUCCCUAUCUGCCGUGGGCGCUGGAGAAUUGAGGGGGGCUGCUCCUAGUACGAGAGGACCGGAGUGGACGCAUCACUGGUGUUCGGGUUGUCAUGCCAAUGGCACUGCCCGGUAGCUAAAUGCGGAAGAGAUAAGUGCUGAAAGCAUCUAAGCACGAAACUUGCCCCGAGAUGAGUUCUCCCUGAGACUUUAAGUCUCCUGAAGGAACGUUAAAGACGAUGACGUUGAUAGGCCGGGUGUGUAAGCGCAGCGAUGCGUUGAGCUAACCGGUACUAAUGAACCGUGAGGCUUAACCUUACAACGCCGAAG